rnacentral:lncRNA from 1 species
CGCCUAUCUCCGUAGAGAGUGGUUGCUUUUUGAAUUUGCUCAGCCAGUUUAUUGAUUGAGAGAUGGCUUUGUACUCUAUCAGUAUUCAUUUGUUGGUGCAUGUAAUCUUGGCAUUACAACAUCUGGACGGCAAGGCUUUUCGGGACGCCCUGAUUCCCCCCAUCGGCAUUAGGCAGUGGGCCAGCAUGCCUCACAUCGAACUGAACACCAGCACCAUCAACUUCCAUCAACAACCCUGGACCAAACAGAACACCAGCGAGACCACUGGACACAGUUUGUACAAGUGCCCCGGAGAGGCUUGUGUUAUGGUCAACUUGGAACCCAAUGCUACCCGGGUAGCUACAAACAACACUAACCGACUCAGUGGCCUUGUGGUUAGAGUGUCCGCCCUGAGAUUGGAAGGUCAGGUGGUUUAUCCGCGGUCGAGUCCUACCAAAGACUCUGAAAAUGGGCAUCGAUGCCUCUCCGCUUGGCACACAUUAAGGAGAUGGAUUGGGGUUAAGGCCCUGCGACAGACUUGUGUCCUAUCCAGGGGGGAUACAUCAAGCUGCCUCAUGCUACAGAAACAGGAGAUAGGAUCCUGCCCUGUGGGUCAUUGUGGCUCGGACAAGGCCACCACCACCCAGACCAGAAACAGUAUUGACCAGAAAUACAGAGACGUUAGUGCUUUGCGCCAGACAACCAGUGAUUCUACGGCCAGCCUCAGAACGCCUCGCACCCGAGUAGCUGAGCUCAGGAGUAGGGAGAGAGCGGGAGCGAGCGAGCUUGUGUGGAAGAAGAUGGUGGAAGUGAUUAAUGGGGCAGAAGAGAGGAGGAUAGAGGCUGCAGGCUGCAUGUUUCUGGCUCUUUGCUGCUGGUUGUACGGCAUGGGCCUACUGCUCACCUUCAGUGUCAGUGGACUACUGCAGAUAAUGGUUGCAUUAGAGCUCCAAGGAGAUGAACACAAGGAGAGAGGAGCCGAGAGGAAGACAGAGGGCUGUAAAGAUGCUCAAACCGCUCCCGUCUGGGUGACCCCCCGUGGUUCAACUAAGAAGAGAGCCCGCCGCCGCCGUCGGUCCAACAAGGGGAAACACUGAAUAACGUGCCCAUACAGGACAUUG